GACGAACGCUGGCGGCGUGCCUAACACAUGCAAGUCGAACGGAGCACUUCGGUGCUUAGUGGCGAACGGGUGAGUAACGCGUGAGAAACCUGCCUUUCAGUGGGGGACAACAGUUGGAAACGACUGCUAAUACCGCAUAAUGUUAUUUGGGGGCAUCCCCGAAUAACCAAAGCUUUAUGUGCUGAAAGAUGGUCUCGCGUCUGAUUAGCUAGAUGGCGGGGUAACGGCCCACCAUGGCGACGAUCAGUAGCCGGUCUGAGAGGAUGAACGGCCACAUUGGGACUGAGAUACGGCCCAGACUCCUACGGGAGGCAGCAGUGAGGAAUAUUGGGCAAUGGGCGAAAGCCUGACCCAGCAACGCCGCGUGAGGGAAGAAGGCCUUCGGGUUGUAAACUUCUUUUACCAGGGACGAAGAAAGUGACGGUACCUGGAGAAAAAGCAACGGCUAACUACGUGCCAGCCGCCGCCGUAACAC
rnacentral:rRNA from 1 species